GGAGAGGUGUCCGAGCGGCUGAAGGAGCACGCCUGGAAAGCGUGUAUACGCUAACGCGUAUCGAGGGUUCGAAUCCCUCUCUCUCCGCCA
rnacentral:tRNA from 1 species